rnacentral:lncRNA from 1 species
AAGAAUUGACGUAAGUGUUUAAGUUUAUUCAAAUAUUUAGUGAAUGUAUUUAUUUUCUAACAAUUAUGCAUUGUUAUGUAUGAAUUAGGCCGAGGUUCAUCGACUGGCCGCUGCCACAGGACGAGAGUCACGGCUAGAUGAGGUGUAUUUGGAGGUGGUGCAUCCGGAUAGGUCACGGAUCUACGGCGUCGGGAGUGCCGGGCAGAGUCAGGCUAGUAGGGGGUCUAUCCGCAGCACGGGCACUUCUGCGGUGUCUCAGCAGCUUUAUGAGACACAGAUCUCCACGCUGGAGGAGCGAUUGGCGGCAGAGCAAGCAGCACGCCAAGAGAUGCAGGACCGCAUGGCGGCAGAGCAAGCAGCACGCCAAGAGAUGCAGGACCGCAUGACUCAAUUGGAGGCGUUUAUGAGGAUGUAUAAUGCUCAGCCACCUCCACCCCCUGAUGCCGAUG